rnacentral:rRNA from 1 species
UACGUAGGGGGCAAGCGUUGUCCGGAUUCACUGGGCGUAAAGCGCGCGCAGGCGGUCAUCUGCGUCCGGGGUGAAAACCCAGAGCUCAACUCUGGGACUGCCUUGGAUACGGGGUGACUUGAGGAUCGGAGAGGCAAGGGGAAUUCCACGUGUAGCGGUGAAAUGCGUAGAGAUGUGGAGGAACACCUGUGGCGAAGGCGCCUUGCUGGCCGAUUUCUGACGCUGAGGUGCGAAAGCGUGGGGAGCAAACAGG